rnacentral:rRNA from 1 species
GGCGAACGGGUGAGUAACACGUGAGUAAUCUGCCCCUGGCUUUGGGAUAGCCACCGGAAACGGUGAUUAAUACCGAAUAUGACUCAUGACUGCAUGGUUGUGGGUGGAAAGUUUUUCGGCCAGGGAUGUGCUCGCGGCCUAUCAGCUUGAUGGUGAGGUAAUGGCUCACCAUGGCUUCGACGGGUAGCCGGCCUGAGAGGGUGACCGGUCACACUGGGACUGAGACACGGCCCAGACUCCUACGGGAGGCAGCAGUGGGGAAUAUUGGACAAUGGGCGGAAGCCUGAUCCAGCAACGCCGCGUGAGGGAUGACGGCCUUCGGGUUGUAAACCUCUUUCAGUACCGACGAAGCGCAAGUGACGGUAGGUACAGAAGAAGCACCGGGCAACUACGUGCCAGCCGCCGCGG